GCCUGGGUGGCUCAGUCGGUUGAGCGGCCGACUUCAGCUCGGGUCAUGAUCUCGCGGUCCGUGAGUUCGAGCCCCGCGUCGGGCU
rfam:Felis catus isolate Cinnamon breed Abyssinian chromosome A3, whole genome shotgun sequence.